CGCACGGUGGCUUAGUGGUUAGCACGUUCGCCUGUUCGAUUCCAGGGUCCCGGGUUCGAUUCCCGCUGGGGCUGUGUGU